rnacentral:rRNA from 1 species
UACGUAGGGAGCAAGCGUUGUCCGGAAUCAUUGGGCGUAAAGCGCGCGCAGGCGGUUCUCCAAGUCAGUGGUGAAAGCCCGGGGCUCAACCCCGGAAUUGCCUUUGAGACUGCAUCGCUAGAAUUGUGGAGAGGUAAGUGGAAUUCCGAGUGUAGAGGUGAAAUUCGUGAGAUAUUCGGAAGAACACCAGUGGCGGAAGGCGACUUACUGGACACAUAUUGACGCUGAGGUGCGAAAGCGUGGGGAGCAAACAGG